UGAUCCAUUGCAUUUAUCAUCGUUUGCUUGGCGGUUGUGAACUGUUGUACAAGGUGUGCAUGCAGACAUUUAUCUGCACUACUUCAAAGGUGAAAUACAGGGGACAUGCUGAAGCAAAGCACCCUAAAGCUUAUGUCCAUGCUUGUUUUCCUCAUCUAAAGAAAUCAUGAUUUCCAGUUAAAGUAAAUGUGAAAUAUGGGUUUCAUCAGCGUCUCCAAUCUAUCAUGUGAUUUGGGUUGGACCGGUUCCAUUGUUUCUAUUGAAAUAUUUUUCCAAACUAUUGUUGGUUAAAUAGCUUGAAACUCUUAAAUAUGUUUCUAAUAUCUCUUAGGUUCACUUUUAGUUCAUUUUGUUAAACUGG
rnacentral:lncRNA from 1 species